rnacentral:rRNA from 1 species
AUUGAACGCUGGCGGCAUGCUUUACACAUGCAAGUCGAACGGUAACAGGCCUUCGGGUGCUGACGAGUGGCGAACGGGUGAGUAAUGCAUCGGAACGUGCCCAGAGGUGGGGGAUAACGCAGCGAAAGCUGUGCUAAUACCGCAUGUGAUCUGAGGAUGAAAGCGGGGGACCGAGCAGCAAUGUUUGGCCUCGCGCCUUUGGAGCGGCCGAUGUCGGAUUAGCUAGUUGGUGGGGUAAAGGCCUACCAAGGCGACGAUCCGUAGCUGGUCUGAGAGGACGACCAGCCACACUGGGACUGAGACACGGCCCAGACUCCUACGGGAGGCAGCAGUGGGGAAUUUUGGACAAAGGGCGCAAGCCUGAUCCAGCAAUGCCGCGUGCGGGAAGAAGGCCUUCGGGUUGUAAACCGCUUUUGGCAGGAACGAAACGGUGUCCGCUAAUACCGGGCGCUAAUGACGGUACCUGCAGAAUAAGCACCGGCUAACUACGUG